rnacentral:rRNA from 1 species
UUGGAGGGCAAGUCUGGUGCCAGCAGCCGCGGUAAUUCCAGCUCCAAUAGCGUAUAUUAAAGUUGUUGCAGUUAAAAAGCUCGUAGUUGAAUUUCGGGAUUGACGUGAUGGUCAUGCCUUAAGGGGUAUGAACUGUUGCAGUUGAUUUCUCACCUUCUGGAGAAACUUGAUGUCCUUUAUUGGGUGUCUUGCGGAUCCAGGACCUUUACCUUGGAAAAAUUAGAGUGUUUAAAGCAGGCAUUUUUGCUCGAAUACAUUAGCAUGGAAUAAUAGAAUAGGACGGCAUGGUUCUAUUUUGUUGGUUUCUAGGAUCACCGUAAUGAUUAAUAGGGAUAGUUGGGGGCAUUAGUAUUCAAUUGUCAGAGGUGAAAUUCUUGGAUUUAUUGAAGACUAACUACUGCGAAAGCAUUUGCCAAGGAUGUUUUCAUUAAUCAAGAACGAAAGUUAGGGGAUCGAAGACGAUCAGAUACCGUCGUAGUCUUAACCAUAAACUAUGCCGACUAGGGAUCGGAUGAUGUUAAUUUUUUAAUGACUCAUUCGGCGCCUUACGGGAAAC